CCCUUAGAUGUUCUGGGCCGCACGCGCGCUACACUGAUGCAUUCAACGAGUAUUUCCUGGGCCGAGAGGCAUGGGCAAUCUGGUGAACAUGCAUCGUGAUAGGGAUAGAUUAUUGCAAUUAUUAAUCUUGAACGAGGAAUUCCUAGUAAACGCAAAUCAUCAGUUUGCAUUGAUUACGUCCCUGCCCUUUGUACACACCGCCCGUCGCACCUACCGAUUGAAUGGUCCGGUGAAGCCUCGGGAUUGUGACCUGCGUCUUAAUUGGUGUUGGUUGCGAGAACUUGUCUAAACCUUAUCAUUUAGAGGAAGGUGAAGUCGUANCA
rnacentral:rRNA from 1 species